CUAUUCACCCCAUUUUACGGUAUUGAUUUUCAAACAAGAAUUAGAUUACAGCGAUGGUCAAAAGCAUUUAGAUAUUGCUUUGAAAUCUACAGAUAAGGUAUGGCAGUUUCGUUUUAAAGAACAAGAUGUUAAAGUUUAUGAUAAAAUUGUCAUCAGAAAUACUGUCCACUUGCAGUAUUUACAUAGGAAAAUGUUGGAGGAUGAAGCUCUACCUACUGCCUCAGAGCAACAACAGAAUAAAAAACCAAAAUAUGAACACCAGCAACUAAAACAGGAACCAUUAAAUGAAUAUUAUAUACAGAUCAACAUUUUGUAGAGCAAUAACAGCAUCAAAUAAUGGAAAUAAUGGACCUUAUUGCACAAAUCAAAAACAAAAUUUCAGCAUUACUACUUUAUUGGUUAUAUCAAUAAAAGAAAUUGAGUUUAUCAGUCUAGAUCCUACAAGUAAGCAGAUCUAUCACAUAAUUUUAAAUGAAGAUUUAUCUAUCAUAGUAUGUAUAAACACUUUGCAUCUUUUAUUCAAUGUUGUAAUGAAUUAACAAAUUCCAGGUAAUUUAUUCUAAUAACGAAAAAAAAACUUUGGAUCAAAAAAUAUUUUCUUCUGAUGAGGUUUAUGAAUAUUAAAGUCUGUUGAAGUUUGGCCAUUAUGUGUUGGUAUACAAUUUAUUUAUGAUGUUACAGUAUCCGAGUACGAAACAUGUUUAAAAUCCACUAUUCUUAAUGAAUGGAAACUACCAACUUGAGAGGAAGCUAAGAGAAAGGUUCUAUUGGGUGGACUACAAGGAAAAGGGAUAUACAUGAGGAUGGAAGGGCUAUAACAUUACGUCUCAAGCCAUGGGACAAUAGGAAACGAAAUUCAAAGGAAAAUAUUACAAUACGUGGGAUGCAAAUUAUAGUGCAAAGAAUUGAGAAAAAGAAUUAUUAAAAGUAGUUAUUGUUACGAUAGUUAAACCAUCCGACUACCAAAUAUAUUUAAAAUCCACUAUUCUGAAUGAAUAGCAACUACCAACUUGGGAGGAAGCUGCGAGAACGAUUCUAUUGGGUGAACUACAAGGAAGACAUGAGGAUCUGGAAGGGCUAUAAAAUUAUAUUAUUCCACGUCCCAAGCCAUGUUGGAAUAGCUGGGAGUGAAAAA